GAUAUAGUCACACUAUCGACAUAACUCGUAUUGAUCAUCGUCAUAAAUAAUGAAUUCUAAUCUAUCGUAAAAAACCAUUGAAACAAGAAUGCACAUAGUCAUUGGCCUCGGCACUGGUAUUGGUGAUCAUAGAUCAACGCUCACAGUCUCCACUGUCAACCAUCAAACACAUCACAUUCCCGAUACUCCAUCGAUCCCACGGACACCACUGAUGUCCACAAUAUCAUCUGGAACUUCACUGGAAUCACCUCGAACAAUCGAUUACAGUUCGUCAACACAAUUCUACGAUCACACACUGGGAAUUUGCACAAUUGCAAACUGCCGUUGACUUUUUCGUGUACGAGGCAAACGACGGCACGAAGGAGUGAAACCGUCGGCUGCCAAUGGUUGGCAGUUGCUACUAACUCGCGGCCUCGUGGCUGUUUGGUUUAAGGUACAAGCGGCGCGCGGCAAAAUGUUAAAGUGAGAACGGAAGUUAUCGUGAAGCACAUGAGUAAGAAAGAGAAAGGGAUUAUUGAAAAGGCCUGGCUACGUGGUAACUCUGGGAAUUACUAUGCUGGUAACUAUACAGUGGUGAGACGGGAGGUGAAGACCGACUCGAUUCGCUUCUCCGAGGCACGAAGAGGCGAGACCAAUGCCAGAGACUCGAUCAGAUGGCCUUUGACACGUUUUGGAUGUGUGAGACGAUUUCAAGGCUGAGAAAAAGAAAUUGAAGGGAGAGAGAGAGAUGCAGUUGAAGAGAAAAUUAAACUUGAGAAGCCUCUAACUGUCAACAAGAUGAAACAAGCGUUUCUACGUGAAAGUCAAACCGCUUUGUUUUCGUGAUCAGAAAUUGUCUCACUUCGUGAUCAGGAACUCAUUCCACGCGUAAAACUGUAAUCAGAAACUCUCAAAGACUGAAUUCUUCAAAACUGUGAUUUCAAUUAAUUAACAAUUGGAUUUGAUUGACCUUU